UACGUAGGGCGCAAGCGUUUAUCCGGAAUUAUUGGGCGUAAAGAGCUCGUAGGCGGUUUGUCGCGUCUGCCGUGAAAGUCCGGGGCUCAACUCCGGAUCUGCGGUGGGUACGGGCAGACUAGAGUGAUGUAGGGGAGACUGGAAUUCCUGGUGUAGCGGUGAAAUGCGCAGAUAUCAGGAAGAACACCGAUGGCGAAGGCAGCUCUCUGGGACGGUACUGACGCUGAGACGCGAAAGCGUGGGGAGCGAACAGG
rnacentral:rRNA from 1 species